AGAGUUUGAUCAUGGCUCAGGAUGAACGCUAGCUACAGGCUUAACACAUGCAAGUCGAGGGGAAACGGACAUCGAAAGCUUGCUUUUGAUGGGCGUCGACCGGCGCACGGGUGAGUAACGCGUAUCCAACCUGCCCACCACUUGGGGAUAACCUUGCGAAAGUAAGACUAAUACCCAAUGACAUCUCUAGAAGACAUCUGAAAGAGAUUAAAGAUUUAUCGGUGAUGGAUGGGGAUGCGUCUGAUUAGCUUGUUGGCGGGGUAACGGCCACCAAGGCGACGAUCAGUAGGGGUUCUGAGAGGAAGGUCCCCCANAUUGGAACUGAGACACGGUCCAAACUCCUACGGGAGCA
rnacentral:rRNA from 1 species